ACCCUGUAUAGUGGAAUCAUCGGUUCCUAUUGAUUUCUACAGUUAUUUCGCGUCAGCUGCAUAACGCUUUCCGUUUUGGCAUGUGCUACGUGUUUCGCUAGAAAAUUUUGGAAUACUGGAGAUUACCAAGAAAAAUAAAUGUUAACAGCCACAAUAUAUUGUCGGACUACAUCAUCUGUUCACACAUUGAUGCGGGAAUUACAACAAAAAAAUGAUGGAGUAUAAAAGUUGAAUAGAUACAUUAAAGAUACUUUCCAGCGUAGAAUGAAAUACUAGGACAAACGACAAAAAUGUACUCUGCAAACAGAUGCAAUUAAUUUCUUGCAAGAUAUAUGUGGAAAUAUGUUUAAGGAUUCAUUCAGACAUUGAUGAGGAACUUCCAA